CAGCAGCCGCGGGAAUACGGAGGGGGCUAGCGUUGUUCGGAAUUACUGGGCGUAAAGCGCACGUAGGCGGCUUGGUAAGUUAGAGGUGAAAGCCCGGAGCUCAACUCCAGAAUUGCCUUUAAGACUGCCGAGCUAGCAGGUGAGAGAGGUAAGUGGAAUUCCGAGUGUAGAGGUGAAAUUCGUAGAUAUUCGGAAGAACACCAGUGGCGAAGGCGGCUUACUGGCUCAUACUGGACGCUGAGGUGCGAAAGCGUGGGGAGCAAACAGGAUUAGAUACCCGUGUAGUCCCUGUCUCUUAUAC
rnacentral:rRNA from 1 species